rnacentral:rRNA from 1 species
ACCGGGUGCGUAACGCGUAUGCAACCUGCCCCCAUCAGGGGAAUACGCCCGCCGAAAGGCGGAUUAAUGCCCCAUAGGCCCAGGGCGCCGCAUGGCGCUAUGGGUAAAGCUCCGGCGGGAUGGGGAUGGGCAUGCGUGCCAUUAGCUAGUUGGGGCGGUAACGGCGCACCAAGGCGACGAUGGCUAAGGGGUCUGAGAGGAUGGUCCCCCACACUGGUACUGAGACACGGACCAGACUCCUACGGGAGGCAGCAGUGAGGAAUAUUGGUCAAUGGGCGGAAGCCUGAACCAGCCAACUGCCGCGUGCAGGAUGACGGCCCUACGGGUUGUAAACUGCUUUUCCCCGGGAAGAAUAAGCCCCUCGUGAGGGGUGAUGCCGGUACCGGGGGAAUAAGGAUCGGCUAACUCCGUGCCAGCCGCCGC